AGUAUCCCAUGAUUGGAUGGAUGGUGUUUCUUUAAGACUUCGAUUAGGUGCUAAUAUGGCUGGAGUUGGAUGCCAUCUGAAAUUUGAGAUAUUGAAGGAAACCUGCAAGAGAAGUCCUUACCAUUGAGGAUGUUUUGACGGGAGAUCCUUCAAUAGCUAAGUUAAUCAGAGCUCGAGAACAGUAGAGAAAAAGAGGAGAGCA
rnacentral:lncRNA from 1 species